rnacentral:tRNA from 1 species
UUCCUGGUGGUUCUGACAGUAAGGAAUCUGCCUGCAAUGCAGGAGACCCAGGUUAAAUCCUGUGUCAGGAAG